rnacentral:rRNA from 1 species
GAAGCGACGUCAAAGCGUAUACAAAGUCGAGUCGGUUUAAGGAUACGUUCGUUGGGUAGGGGAGCGUUCUGUAAGCCUGUGAAGGUGUGUCGUGAGGCAUGCUGGAGGUAUCAGAAGUGCGAAUGCUGACAUAAGUAACGAUAAAGCGGGUGAAAAGCCCGCUCGCCGGAAGACCAAGGGUUCCUGUCCAACGUUAAUCGGGGCAGGGUGAGUCGACCCCUAAGGCGAGGCCGAAAGGCGUAGUCGAUGGGAAACGGGUUAAUAUUCCCGUACUUGGUGUUACUGCGAAGGGGGGACGGAGAAGGCUAUGUUGGCCGGGCGACGGUUGUCCCGGUUUAAGCGUGUAGGUGUGUGUUCCAGGUAAAUCCGGUUCACUUUAACACUGAGGCGUGACGACGAGGCACUACGGUGCUGAAGCAACAAAUGCCCUGCUUCCAGGAAAAGCCUCUAAGCAUCAGGUAACAUCAAAUCGUACCCCAAACCGACACAGGUGGUCAGGUAGAGAAUACCAAGGCGCUUGAGAGAACUCGGGUGAAGGAACUAGGCAAAAUGGUGCCGUAACUUCGGGAGAAGGCACGCUGACACGUAGGUGAAGUGAUUUACUCAUGGAGCUGAAGUCAGUCGAAGAUACCAGCUGGCUGCAACUGUUUAUUAAAAACACAGCACUGUGCAAACACGAAAGUGGACGUAUACGGUGUGACGCCUGCCCGGUGCCGGAAGGUUAAUUGAUGGGGUCAGCGCAAGCGAAGCUCCUGAUCGAAGCCCCGGUAAACGGCGGCCGUAACUAUAACGGUCCUAAGGUAGCGAAAUUCCUUGUCGGGUAAGUUCCGACCUGCACGAAUGGCGUAAUGAUGGCCAGGCUGUCUCCACCCGAGACUCAGUGAAAUUGAACUCGCUGUGAAGAUGCAGUGUACCCGCGGCAAGACGGAAAGACCCCGUGAACCUUUACUAUAGCUUGACACUGAACAUUGAGCCUUGAUGUGUAG